rnacentral:rRNA from 13 species
GGGUGCGAUCAUACCAGCACUAAACCACCGGAUUCCAUCAGUGCUCCCCAGUUAAGCGUGCUUGGCCGAGAGUAGAACUAGGGUGGGUGACCUCCUGGGAAGUCCUCGUGUUGCACCCCU